rnacentral:rRNA from 1 species
CCGAAUGGGGAAACCCAGUGCAAUUCGUUGCACUAUCGUUAACUGAAUACAUAGGUUAACGAGGCGAACCGGGGGAACUGAAACAUCUAAGUACCCCGAGGAAAAGAAAUCAACCGAGAUUCCCCCAGUAGCGGCGAGCGAACGGGGAGCAGCCCAGAGUCUGAAUCAGCUUGUGUGUUAGUGGAACGGUCUGGAAAGUCCGACGGUACAGGGUGAUAGUCCCGUACACCAAAAUGCACAGGCUGUGAACUCGAAGAGUAGGG